rnacentral:rRNA from 1 species
UACGUAGGGUGCGAGCGUUAAUCGGAAUUACUGGGCGUAAAGCGUGCGCAGGCGGUUCGUUGUGUCGGCGGUGAAAGCCCCGGGCUUAACCUGGGAAUGGCCGUUGAAACUGGCGAACUGGAGUGUGGCAGAGGGGGGUGGAAUUCCGCGUGUAGCAGUGAAAUGCGUAGAGAUGCGGAGGAACACCGAUGGCGAAGGCAGCCCCCUGGCUAACACUGACGCUCAGGCACGAAAGCUGGGGAGCAAACAGG